ACAUUUCAUUAUUUUUCAACUCUAAAUCUUCCCGCCCACACACUCUCUUUCUCAUCCUCACAAAUCUCACCAUUUUUUUCAAAAAUUUUCAGUAGAUUUUUGUUUGAUUUCAAUUCAUUUCUUCAGUAAAUCUCUUUGAUUAGCAGAGAAAAGAACUGUAUUUGUUUCAAUUUCAGAUUCAGAAAAAGAGGAAAAACCCUAGCUAAAUUUUGUGUGAGCAAGUGAAAAAAUAUGAAUCAAUAUCAUAUAUAUGAAGCUAUUGGCCGUGGAAAACACUCGACUGUAUAUAAAGGGAGGAAAAAGAAGACAAUAGAGUAUUUUGCGAUUAAAAGUGUGGAUAAAUCUCAGAAAAACAAGGUUCUUCACGAAGUCAGAAUUCUUCAUUCUCUAGAUCAUGCAAAUGUGUUGAAGUUCUACUCCUGGUAUGAAACAUCUGCACACCUGUGGUUGGUUUUAGAAUAUUGUGUUGGAGGAAAUCUCAUGAGCUUGCUUCAGCAGGAUGGUAAGCUUCCUGAAGAUUCAAUUCAUGAUCUUGCUUGUGGCCUUGUUAGAGCUCUUCUAUACUUACAUUCAAAGGGAAUAAUUUAUUGCGACUUAAAGCCAUCAAACAUCCUAUUGGAUGAAAAUGGAAUCACAAAGCUGUGUGAUUUUGGAUUAGCAAGAAAAUUGAGUGAUAUAUCAAAGACACCUUCCUCCCAGUUACCACAAAUAAAGCGAGGAACCCCAUAUUACAUGGCUCCAGAGCUUUUCCAAGAUGGAGGGGUCCAUUCCUAUGCCUCUGAUUUCUGGGCUCUUGGUUGUGUCUUGUUUGAAUGCUAUGCUGGGAUACCUCCUUUUGUUGGCAAAGAAUUUACCCAGCUAGUGAGAUCAGUCAUUUCUGAUCCAACUCCAGCACUUCCUGGCACGCCAAGCCGCCCCUUGGUCAAUCUGAUUAAUUCUCUUCUUAUAAAAGAUCCUUCUGAAAGAAUGCAGUGGCCCGAGCUUGCAGGACAUGCUUUCUGGAAAACAAGAUUUGCUCCAGUGCCAUUACCUCCUCAGCCUGCUUUUGAUAAUAUGAUAGAAAUGUCUUCUAAGCAAUGCCUUUCAGAAAGGAACAGUGAAAAGCCAAUACAAAACAAGACCCCACAAAAGACUCGUGAAAAAGAUUCUAAGGUGUCCCUCAAGCAUGAUGAAAAUUCAAAUACUGGAUCCAGAGGUUACGUGACACCAAUUAAAGGCAUAUCCAGUGGCCGGAAAGCUCAAGCGAAGGGUUCUGGCAAGACAACUGAUGACAAGCAGAAAGACACCUCGAACAAUACUAGAGGUGUCAAUCUAUUACGUCUUUCAAGAAUUGCAAAAUCAAAUUUAAUGAGGGAGAAUGAGAAGGAGAACUACCGUAGGCCACUGCCUAAUAACUCUGAGAAUGAUGCUGAACUUAAGGUUGAAAAUACUGACAUGGAACUUGACUUUAAUGAGAAUAAUGAGGAUGAUACACAAGAUGAACCUGAUGAAACUGAUAGCACUCAGAGUCCCGAGUCAACUACUUCAACUCCAAAUCUGACGGAGGGUAAUAUGGAAGAGAUGGAUAUUGAUAGCAGACAUCCAGAUACACCAGCUGUGGUUAAUACACCUUGCUCAGAUUAUUCAAGGACAUCUGACCAUGAACAGUCUUCUAAAUAUGAAGUGGCUGCUAUGCUACCUAAUGAUAGCCCUCAGCUAAAGACUCCUGUGAUUAAAGAGAACUCUGCGAAUAUCUCUGAUAUCUCAAAACCAUCUACGAACCUUUCAGAUAUUCUUUGGCAUCCAUCUGAUCUCUCAGUCAGACCUGUAAUGCCUAGCAGAAAAUCAGAUAAAGGUUCAGAUGCAAUUCCUUCACUUCCAUUCGAUGCACCUCAACUGUCUGAUUUUGUCAAAAUGUCGAAGGAGCAAUUAGACUCUUUUAAUAGUAGAAUCAUCAGUAUUGUUAGUGGGAAUACUCCCUCAGGGGAGAAGCAAAAUGUGAUCAGAUACCUUGAGCUUUUGAGCAGCAAUGCUGAUGCAGCCAACAUCUUGACCAAUGGGUCUAUUAUGCUGGUUCUAGUCAAAAUGCUUCGUCACUCCAAGGUUACUCUGUUGCGUGCUCAACUUGCUUCACUUAUCGGUUUGUUGAUUCGUCACUCAACUUUUAUUGGGGAUGAGCUGGCAAAUUCUGGAAUAUUAGGUGCACUAACUGAUGGUCUGAGAGACAGGCAAGAAAAAGUGAGAAGGUUUUCCAUGGCUGCUUUGGGUGAAUUACUAUUUUAUAUAUCUACUCAAAAUGAGCAUGCUCGGGAUAACAAACCAAUGGAAUCUCCAUCUAAGGACAGCCGACCCUCAUCCUGUUGGCAGGUGACAAGUCCAAUAAUUUCAUUGGUUUCAUCACUUUUACGGAACGGAGAAGAUGAUAUUACUCAACUUUAUGCUCUGAGGACAAUUGAAAAUAUCUCCAGUCAAGGAGGGUACUGGUCUGCUCGUUUCACCAGCCAAGAUGUCAUUACUAACCUCUGCUACAUAUUUAGGGCUCCUGGAAAGCAGGAGAGCAUGAGGCUGACAGCAGGGUCUUGCUUGGCUCGUCUUGUUCGUUUUAGCCCUUCUAGUAUUCAACGAGUCAUGGAAAAACUUUCAUUCAAGGAUAUGGUUUCAAGCCUGGUCAAGCGUAAUCCACGAGAGCAACAAAUCUGCUUAAACAUUCUGAACAUGACUCUCCUAGAAAGUCAUACACUUCCAAGUAUUGGAAGGUACCUUCUUGCCUUGGUCGAAGACAAGAAUCUUGUUCUGAAUCUUGUGACUCUAAUUGAGCAGGGAAGUGAAGUUUUGAAGGGAAAGGCACUCAUAUUUGUGGCUCUACUUUGUAUGAAUGGAAAGAGGUGGCUGCCACUAUUCUUUUGCAAUGCUAAACUGCUCUCAACCGUUGAUAGGUUGGUUAAGGAGAAGGAUGACUUUGUGAAGCAGUGUUUAGAUGCACUUGGGAUGGUUAUCGCAUCAACUGUACCAAGUUUGCUUGAAUGUAUAUCUGGGGACAUUCAGCAACUGAAGGGUGGUAAACGCCGUGGGCAGAUAAUUAGUGUCACAAGUCGAAAUUCUUCUAAGAACAGUAUGCAUUUAUUUCCUGUUGUUCUCCAUCUUCUUGGGUGCGCUUCACUGAAAAGAAGGGUUGCUAAUCAUCAGGUUCUGCAACAGUUGGCAAAUCUACUUAAACUGGUGGAGUCUCCUUUCCAGGGUAGAGAUGAUUUUCAGAUAACACUUUUACGUGUUCUUGAGUCUAUAGCAGAGGAGAUGUCUCUGGUUCAAGAUAGUUCUAGCAUUUUUAUUAGCCAGAUUCUACCUAGUUUAUCUGUUGUUUACAAAGGGAAUAAAGAUGGAGAUGCCAGAUUCUUGUGCCUGAAGAUUUUGUUUGAUGUGAUGGUCAUUUUACUGGAUGAAACAUCUGAAAAUGAACAGAAGCCGGAGAAUUUGAAGUCCAUAUCUAAUUCUUACUUCCUCCCUCUCUACCCCUCUUUGAUUGAGGAUGAGGACCCAAUACCUGUGUAUGCUCAGAAACUUCUUGUGAUGCUCAUCGAGUAUAACCAUAUAAAUAUUGCAGACAUUGUCCACAUGAAGAUAAUCUCCCAGUGCUUUGAAUUUCUCCUUGGUGAUUUCUCAACUGCAAAUGUCAACAAUGUACUGCUCUGCUUGGCUCUUACAUCUGCUCCAGAGCUGGAAACCAAAUCUCUCUCCCAACUAAAAGUUGUCAGAAAGAUCGGAAGCCUUUUGGAAUUUGUAUAUGCUAAGGAGAUGGAAGAUUUCAUUGAACCUACACUUCGUUUGUGUAGGGCUUUCCUUUUACGCUCAGUAGGCACUGUGAGAGGCUCUAUGUUUGCAAAAGAACCUGUUCGUUUAUAUGAAAAUUCCUCAGAUGGAGCUAGUGCCUUUGAUCAAAAUGAAUGCAUCAGAGAUAUUAUGGACUUUGGUGAAAAUGUUGGGGUCUUAUUAGAACUCACCCAUCUGAAUGAGAUUAAUGUUGCAGAUUUAGCUUCUGAAUGCUUAAUUUUAUUGCUCAAGGCAGCUCCAAGGGAAGCUACCACUGGGUUCCUGACAAAUCUUCCCAAAGUCAGUCUCAUCCUUGAGUCAUGGAGACAAAGCAUAUCUCACUUGCUGUUGCAACGAAUUCUGAUCGCACUUGGUUAUUCUUGUAGACAGUACCUGUCACAUGCUAUGAUAUUGUCAAUAAGUUUGCCUGAGAUAUCGAAAAUCGAAGGGAUUGUUUCUCAGGUCAAAAGCUCCACAAUACCAUCUCUCGUUGAUGCUGUUUCUCGUGCAGCAUUGGAGCUUCAGAGACUGCCUCGUUGCAUUUGAGUUUGAAAAGCGCAGCCAACUAUGUGUUGAAUCAUGUUAUAUCUCCCUUUUGGGACAGAUACAUAAACUGCAGCUCGGAUCAAAUGGAUAUUGUGAAUGAGGAGAUAACUGUGGUUGUCAUCGACUUUUUGUAUAAACCAAUGUUCUGCACCUUUCAUUUUGAGGUAAAGACUUUUACCUUCUACAUGGCCACCCUCUCCCUCCCACAUUUUAUACACAAUUUACAUACAAUUUGGUGGUAUGUAUAAGUUAUGAUAAAGUAUGUGCAAAAUGGGUAUAAAAAUUGUAUUUUCAAACAUUUGAUCAGUU